rnacentral:rRNA from 1 species
AAUAGAUACCCCGGUAGUCCACGCCGUAAACGAUGUCGACUUGGAGGUUGUUCCCUUGAGGAGUGGCUUCCGGAGCUAACGCGUUAAGUCGACCGCCUGGGGAGUACGGCCGCAAGGUUAAAACUCAAAUGAAUUGACGGGGGGCCCGCACAAGCGGUGGAGCAUGUGGUUUAAUUCGAUGCAACGCGAAGAACCUUACCUACUCUUGACAUCCACGGAACUUAGCAGAGAUGCUUUGGUGCCUUCGGGAACCGUGAGACAGGUGCUGCAUGGCUGUCGUCAGCUCGUGUUGUGAAAUGUUGGGUUAAGUCCCGCAACGAGCGCAACCCUUAUCCUUUGUUGCCAGCGGUUUAGGCCGGGAACUCAAAGGAGACUGCCAGUGAUAAACUGGAGGAAGGUGGGGAUGACGUCAAGUCAUCAUGGCCCUUACGAGUAGGGGCUACACACGUGCUACAAUGGCGCAUACAAAGAGAAGCGACCUCGCGAGAGCAAGCGGACCUCAUAAAGUGCGUCGUAGUCCGGAUUGGAGU